rnacentral:lncRNA from 1 species
GAAGUUUGGACACCGUCGCGAAGGCAGCUCAAGAAGACUGCCGUGCCUUCGAAAUGCCUCCCGAGUCCCAGACAGGACAAGGAGAAUGAUGCGACACAGCAGGCAGCCGUCGAAAGAUCCUCACGGGUAUCGGCAAGAGCAGCACCAGCUGAGUCCAACAGCAUGGCUACUCGAAGUUCUGGCCGUUCGGACGCCCCAUGCACAUCAUCAGAGAGCCCUGCAUGUGCACAGAGCCACCUGUACUUCAGCUGUACGGCACUGAGGAAGAUGAAGGUGAAGGGCGGGAGCGUGCUGCAGAAGGCCUCCUGCAGCUUGGCGCAAGUCAUCGUGAGAUUACUGGACUGGUGGACACAGCGGUCGAAAUGCUUCUGCAGUUGAGUUGCUGUGAAGUUGCCAGUAACGACAUUGGUGUACAAGAUAAUACGGGCGUUGCGACAUCUUCACAGGCAACUCUCAUUGACCAGCUGAACACGGACGCUGCUGUAAAAGCAUUUACAUGAGUAGAAACUUGCAUAAUUAAUGUCAAUCCCACAGGCUGUUGCCAAAACUGAUACUUUUCCUAAAACGGAUAAAGGUGUCCUGGAGAGUGUUGUUGUAGUACUUGCGCGCUUGAAGAUUUUUUUGUCAUUCAAGUGUUUUGCCACACUGUUUGGGAUAUCUGAAACAAGUGUGCGCAGAUAUUUCUACAACACUAUACAACCUUUGGCAGCUGUGCUCGAGGCUGCAGUACCCUGGUCAAGCAAAACGUAGCUUGAGCGAAACGAGCCACGGUGCUUUGCUGCGUAUAGGGAUGUGCGAGUUGUGCUUGACUGC